GGAGGCGUGGCCGAGUGGCUGAAGGCAGCACACUGCUAAUGUGUUAUACCCGAAAGGGUAUCGAAGGUUCGAAUCCUUCCGCCUCCGCCA
rnacentral:tRNA from 1 species